rnacentral:misc_RNA from 1 species
AACGGUCUAUACCUGCGGUACCUGCGGAAGGAUCAUUAAAGAGUUUAACUACUCAAACCAUUGUGAACCUUACCUCAACCGUUGCUUCGGCGGGCGGGCCCGGGCCAAGCCCGGCGCCCCCCCGGCCCCUCGCGGGCGCCCGCCGGAGGUUAACCGAACCCUUGAAUUGUAUGGCCUCUCUGAGUCUUCUGUACUGAAUAAGUCAAAACUUUCAACAAUGGAUCUCUAGAUCGGAAGAGC